UACGUAGGCAGCGAGCGUUGUUCGGAGUUACUGGGCGUAAAGGGUGUGUAGGCGGUUGUUUAAGUUUGGGGUGAAAUCUCCCGGCUCAACUGGGAGGGUGCGCCGAAUACUGAGCGACUAGAGUGCGGGAGAGGAAAGUGGAAUUCCUGGUGUAGCGGUGAAAUGCGUAGAUAUCUGGAGGAACACCGGUGGCGAAGGCGGCAUCCUGGACCGGCAUUGACGCUGAGGCGCGAAAGCCAGGGGAGCAAACGGG
rnacentral:rRNA from 1 species